rnacentral:piRNA from 1 species
UAGCCAGUUUAGUCUUUCCAUGUUCUGUCU